AUUGAACGCUGGCGGCAUGCUUUACACAUGCAAGUCGAACGGCAGCGCGGGCUUCGGCCUGGCGGCGAGUGGCGAACGGGUGAGUAAUGCAUCGGAACGUGCCCAGUAGUGGGGGAUAGCCCGGCGAAAGCCGGAUUAAUACCGCAUACGACCUGAGGGUGAAAGCGGGGGACCGAAAGGCCUCGCGCUAUUGGAUGGGCCGAUGUCGGAUUAGCUAGUUGGUGGGGUAAAGGCUUACCAAGGCGACGAUCCGUAGCUGGUCUGAGAGGACGACCAGCCACACUGGGACUGAGACACGGCCCAGACUCCUACGGGAGGCAGCAGUGGGGAAUUUUGGACAAUGGGGGCAACCCUGAUCCAGCCAUGCCGCGUGAGGGAAGAAGGCCUUCGGGUUGUAAAACGCUUUUGUUCGGGAAGAAAUUCUCUGGGCUAAUACCCCGGGGGGAUGACGGUACCGGAAGAAUAAGCACCGGCUAACUACGUG
rnacentral:rRNA from 1 species